rnacentral:rRNA from 1 species
GAUGAACGCUGGCGGCGUGCCUAAUACAUGCAAGUCGAGCGAAUGGACUAAGAGCUUGCUCUUAUGAAGUUAGCGGCGGACGGGUGAGUAACACGUGGGUAACCUGCCCAUAAGACUGGGAUAACUCCGGGAAACCGGGGCUAAUACCGGAUAACAUUUUGAACCGCAUGGUUCGAAAUUGAAAGGCGGCCUCGGCUGUCACUUAUGGAUGGACCCGCGUCGCAUUAGCUAGUUGGUGAGGUAACGGCUCACCAAGGCAACGAUGCGUAGCCGAACUGGGAGGGUGAUCGGCCACACUGGGACUGGGACACGGCCCAGACUCCUGCGGGAGGCAGCAGUAGGGAAUCUUCCGCAAUGGACGAAAGUCUGACGGAGCAACGCCGCGUGAGUGAUGAAGGCUUUCGGGUCGUAAAACUCUGUUGUUAGGGAAGAACAAGUGCUAGUUGAAUAAGCUGGCACCUUGACGGUACCUAACCAGAAAGCCACGGCUAACUACGUGCCAGCCGCCGCCGUAA